rnacentral:rRNA from 1 species
CAUACCUUAUGUUGCCUCGGCGGAUCAGCCCGCGCCCCCGUAAAACGGGACGGCCCGCCGCAGGAACCCCAAACUCUGUUUUUAGUGGAACUUCUGAGUAUAAAAAACAAAUAAAUCAAAACUUUCAACAACGGAUCUCUUGGUUCUGGCAUCGAUGAAGAACGCAGCAAAAUGCGAUAAGUAAUGUGAAUUGCAGAAUUCAGUGAAUCAUCGAAUCUUUGAACGCACAUUGCGCCCGCCAGUAUUCUGGCGGGCAUGCCUGUUCGAGCGUCAUUUCAACCCUCAAGCCCAGCUUGGUGUUGGGAGCUGCGUCCGCGCACUCCCCAAAUACAUUGGCGGUCACGUCGAGCUUCCAUAGCGUAGUAAUUUACACAUCGUUACUGGUAAUCGUCGCGGCCACGCCGUUAAACCCCAACUUCUGAAUGUUGACCUCGGAUCAGGUAGGAAUACCCGCUGAACUUAAGCAUAUCAA